GCUAGGGUGGCAGAGCCUGGUUACUGCAAAAGGUCUAAGCCCUUUGAACAGAGGUUCAAAUCCUCUCCCUAGCU
rnacentral:tRNA from 1 species